GCUAGAUCUUCCGCAUGAUUCACAUAGCUCAGCUUAUUCCAUGCUUGUCUAAGGUUUUUAGGGCUGUACUGUGUAAACCGUUCUGGUUUGAAAUGGGGUAAUGAGUGGACUCCAGGCCACGUAUCUUCAUUUGGUGUUCCAAGUACCAGAAAUAUCCUUUCAAGUUGAUCUUGAAUGUCUUUCAUUCCUGGAAAAGCUGCGACCCCUUGAAUCAUUUCUACAAAGAUACAUCCCACUCCCCACAUAUCAAGGCAGGUAGAAUAUUCUGUUGAUCCCAAAAGGACAUCUGGAGGUCUGUACCAUAGGGUUACCACUUCAUUAGAAUACGUAUGGCUGGGAACUGAUUUAGCUCUUGCAAGACCAAAGUCUGCCAGCUUUAACUCCCCCGUGUCACUGAUCAGAAGAUUCUGUGGUUU
rnacentral:lncRNA from 1 species